ensembl:lncRNA
UGACAUCAUUUUGGAGGGAAACGAACAACACAAACACCAAUAAGCCCCAAGGUCAACUGAGAAAGCCACAUAUCGAAAGAUAUUGACAUAUUUGAGCAGUUUCUUUGUGAACAGAUGCCUGAUAGACCUGAACUUUAACAGUACCUCCAUCUUAGAUGAAAGUUCUUUUCUUAGAAUAAUGUGAAUGUUGGACCGUCUGUACAAUAACUGGGUGGAGCUAAUUUUACAGUUUUCAAAAUGUCAUUUAGUGUGAUUGUUGAUGCAUUUUAAAAACGUGUUUGUUACACUGCUGCUCUUUACAAAAUAUGCUUUUUGAAAACAAGUCAGACAACAACACUGAAUAAAAUAGAUGUUUUUAGAUAUUGAGAAUGAAUGUGAAUAUGGGAAAUAUGAAUCAU